UCAGCUACGAGCAUGUACCAGUCGUUCAAAAUUAUAGUUUAAGUGUCCAUUACUGAUACGACGGUUAAACCAACAUCCUUCGGUUUGUAUUGCAUUCCUCUUUCGUUCUUCAUUGAAGGCGUGAUUAUUAAAAGAUCCUGUCUUCGUCCAGAAGCAGCAAUGUCGAAAGUCGAUCUUCAAAUUACGUCUGUUGCUAAACGCACUUCAGUCAUGAGUGCCCUUAGCGGACCAUCAACUGGCAGCGUCUGGUCUUUGGGUUUUGACCGUGACGGGACGGGCAUCAGCAAUCACAUGAUCAUCCAAAACCACACCGAUGACUGCUUUCGCCUCCACGAAUUUUAUGUUAAUUGGGGAAGAGCCCGCGUGCCGCCAGAUGCCAAGCUUUCAGCUUACUCCGAGGACGACUGUUUGUUCCAUGCUGCCGGCGGAUGGUGCGCCACAGGGUCCAGCGGCAUUGUCACCUACGAGCUUGACAGUCAGACCUUCCUCCACAUCCUCUGGGACUGCCCUUACAACUUCAACCACUACUGCAAUUUCAUCGGACUAUACCUGUGUGACGAGAAGAAGAGCCGCCCCGACGCCAAUCUUUUCAACGCGAUGUACCAAUACGACGAUGACCCCAGCUUCGUUCCAGAGCGGCGCACAACCUUUGACCUCGUUUGCUGCGGACCAGGGGAAAGGGCCCCGAAUUCUAACGGCGCUGCAAGAUGGGGUGUCCGGCGACCAUGUGAGGUCAUGGACAACAAUUAUCGCGUCAUGAUGACAAUGGGAGACGGCCAUAAAGCCUCCAGUUCGGUGUCCAUAUUUAAAAUCAAACCUACUGUGAUCUAUAUUAAUGCCUGAUAAUCUCCCCUGAUAACCUCUCCUUUAACUACUCCUGGAUGAAGCUCUUUCUGGCGUCCUGUUCCUUAAAUGUUAAAAUCUCAACUAGAAAGAAAUUAUUCAUGUUAAAAAGCGUGUUUAGCAAAUCCUCAUCUAGAUGCUAUUUAAAGCAAAAUAUUUCAGUUAAAUAUCAACGAAGUUUUAACAAUGUCUUUGGAAUAAAAUAAGUUCGCCUAUUGGUAUGAAAA